rnacentral:rRNA from 1 species
UGUGUCCUACGGGACGCAGCAGUCGAGAAUCCUUCACAAUGGGGGAACCCUGAUGGUGCGACGCCGCGUGGGGGAAUGAAGGUCUUCGGAUUGUAAACCCCUGUCAUGUGGGAGCAAAUUAAAAAGAUAGUACCACAAGAGGAAGAGACGGCUAACUCUGUGCCAGCAGCCGCGGUAAUACAGAGGCCUCAAGCGUUGUUCGGAAUCACUGGGCGUAAAGCGUGCGUAGGCUGUUUCGUACGUCGUGUGUGAAAGGCGCGGGCUCAACCCGCGGACGGCACAUGAUACUGAGAG